AAAAAAAAAAAAAAAAAAAUCCAUAUAGCCAACCCCAACUAAUUUGGGAUUGAGGCUUAGUGCUGUUGUUGUAGCUACAAGUUUGUUGCUUGCCCAUUUUUAGGGCUAUACUUGUUUCCUGAUAACUGCAUAUUAUUGUUAUAUUUGGGAUUUGAGGACAUCCUCAUCCCCACUAGCACAUUGAAGGUGGGGAAAUAUUAUACAUUGCACAAUGGCUUAGCCAUCAUCUAACACAGUCAUGGAUCCAAAAGAACUGAUGAACUGACAAGUUCUCUUCAAUCAGAUAAUAUUCCAAAAACUCGAAAGAUAAACAGUAUUAGCAAUAAAAAUAGCAAUCUCAAAGAGAAAAGCAUACUCAAACUAAUUACAUGCGCUUUCAGUGAAAGGACAAGAAGUUUAGACAAGCAUAGUUAAGUUUAAUGAAGUCCAAAACUCCAAAUAUUAAAUCUAAUCUUGUACAAAACAAAUCUAAAAUUCUCAAUGUGAAAACAAAACAUGACCUGUGGUUACAGAUCACAAAUAAUGUUAACGAUUGCAGUACAAAGCUGGUACUCAGUAAAGAGAGGAUAUAUUGCAAAGAUGGAUUUUACCAUCCCACCCCGAGAGAGAGAGAGA
rnacentral:misc_RNA from 1 species